UACGAAGGGGGCUAGCGUUGCUCGGAAUGACUGGGCGUAAAGGGCGCGUAGGCGGUUCGUACAGUCAGACGUGAAAUUCCCGGGCUCAACCUGGGGGCUGCGUUUGAUACGUACGGGCUUGAGUUCGGAAGAGGGUCGUGGAAUUCCCAGUGUAGAGGUGAAAUUCGUAGAUAUUGGGAAGAACACCGGUGGCGAAGGCGGCGACCUGGUCCGAUACUGACGCUGAGGAGCGAAAGCGUGGGGAGCGAACAGG
rnacentral:rRNA from 1 species